UCACGCGGACCGGAAUAAUAUAUUAAGGGUGUUAUAGCGAAACUUUUUCAAGUUAUCAAGUUAAUAAUAUAACAAUAUUAAGAAUAUUUCCUUUGUACCAUCUUAUAUUGUUACAAAAAUGGAUGUUUUGUCAAGCACG